rnacentral:lncRNA from 1 species
CUUUCUUCUAAUACAAUGUGAUCUGACGUGAUCUGCAUCCCCUCCAUGCUGCUGCCGAGAUGGAAGAAUGUGGUGACGCCACUGGUGCCUGGGCCUCUGGUCUCUCCCAUCUGUGGUGGAUGGAUCUGGGUUCAGUUUUGUGGUCCCCACUCUGCUUCAGUCAUCAGGCUUUCUUCAGAUCUUGAGAAGAGACCCCAGCCUGAGUGAAGCCCAAGUUCCUGCCCAAUCUGGCUUCUUACUCGCCAUCUGGCCCCCCAUGAUGGGCUAGAGAGGUGAAGACAGGACAACGAGCUUGAAGUAAAUGGCUUCAGCCUUCCAGGUUUCUAGGCUAAUUUAUAAGAAGAG